rnacentral:rRNA from 1 species
AUGGACUGGUACGCGUGGCUGUCGAAGGCGGGGCUGACGUCGGCGGCGACGUACCAGUACGGGCUGCUCUUCAGCGAGAACGAGCUGGAGCCCGGGGACGCGCCGGACUUCGACCACGACCUGCUCAAGAGCAUGGGCAUCGCCGUCGCCAAGCACCGCCUCGAGAUCCUCAAGCUCGCCAGGAAGGACGCCGCCGCCGCCGCCGCGUCCCAGUCCUCCUCCUCCGCGGCCGCCCGGCUCGCGCGCAGGGCCGGCAGGUGCAUCGCCCGGUGCGCGCGCCGGCUGGGCGGUGGCGCCGGCGGUCCCGGAGGGAGGCGGUACUCCUCGUCCUCCGUCACCGUGGUGCCGAGGAUCUGCAACGGCGCGGCGGGGGACGUGGUGGUCCGCGCCGGCGCCGUGCGGCGGAGGAGCAGCGUCAAGAAGAUGGUGCUCAUGAUCACCGACGGCGGCGUCGCCAGCGGCGUUGGCGGCGGCGGCGGCGUCCGGUUCUCGGGCUCGCAGAAGGCCAGCCUCAUGUUCCAGGACUGCGCGUACGAGGACGAGGAGGACGACGGCGCCGGCGAGGAGGACGAGGAGCGGUGCUCCGACGGCGGCACCGCCGGAGGCCAGAGCGAGAUCAAGUGGGACUCCAUGUUCCAGGACCUCAAGCCGACGUGA